rnacentral:rRNA from 1 species
GUCGAACGGUAACAUUUCUAGCUUGCUAGAAGAUGACGAGUGGCGGACGGGUGAGUAAUGCUUGGGAACUUGCCUUUAGGAGGGGGAUAACAGUUGGAAACGACUGCUAAUACCGCAUAAUGUCUACGGACCAAAGGGGGCUUCGGCUCUCACCUAAAGAGAGGCCCAAGUGAGAUUAGCUAGUUGGUAAGGUAAAAGCUUACCAAGGCGACGAUCUCUAGCUGUUCUGAGAGGAAGAUCAGCCACACUGGGACUGAGACACGGCCCAGACUCCUACGGGAGGCAGCAGUGGGGAAUAUUGCACAAUGGGGGAAACCCUGAUGCAGCCAUGCCGCGUGUGUGAAGAAGGCCUUCGGGUUGUAAAGCACUUUCAGUUGUGAGGAAAGGUUGGUAGUUAAUACCUGCCAGCUGUGACGUUAACAACAGAAGAAGCACCGGCUAACUCCGUGCCAGCAGCCGCGGUAAUACGGAGGGUGCGAGCGUUAAUCGGAAUUACUGGGCGUAAAGCGCACGCAGGCGGUUUGUUAAGCUAGAUGUGAAAGCCCCGGGCUCAACCUGGGAUGGUCAUUUAGAACUGGCAGACUAGAGUCUUGGAGAGGGGAGUGGAAUUCCAGGUGUAGCGGUGAAAUGCGUAGAUAUCUGGAGGAACAUCAGUGGCGAAGGCGGCUCCCUGGCCAAAGACUGACGCUCAUGUGCGAAAGUGUGGGUAGCGAACAGGAUUAGAUACCCUGGUAGUCCACACCGUAAACGCUGUCUACUAGCUGUUUGUGAAUUUAAUUCGUGAGUAGCGAAGCUAACGCGAUAAGUAGACCGCCUGGGGAGUACGGCCGCAAGGUUAAAACUCAAAUGAAUUGACGGGGGCCCGCACAAGCGGUGGAGCAUGUGGUUAAUUCGAUGCAACGCGAAGAACCUUACCUACACUUGA